rnacentral:rRNA from 1 species
AUGAACGCUGGCGGCGUGCCUAAUACAUGCAAGUCGAGCGAACAGACGAGGAGCUUGCUCCUCUGACGUUAGCGGCGGACGGGUGAGUAACACGUGGAUAACCUACCUAUAAGACUGGGAUAACUUCGGGAAACCGGAGCUAAUACCGGAUAAUAUAUUGAACCGCAUGGUUCAAUAGUGAAAGACGGUUUUGCUGUCACUUAUAGAUGGAUCCGCGCCGCAUUAGCUAGUUGGUAAGGUAACGGCUUACCAAGGCAACGAUGCGUAGCCGACCUGAGAGGGUGAUCGGCCACACUGGAACUGAGACACGGUCCAGACUCCUACGGGAGGCAGCAGUAGGGAAUCUUCCGCAAUGGGCGAAAGCCUGACGGAGCAACGCCGCGUGAGUGAUGAAGGUCUUCGGAUCGUAAAACUCUGUUAUUAGGGAAGAACAAAUGUGUAAGUAACUAUGCACGUAUUGACGGUACCUAAUCAGAAAGCCACGGCUAACUACGUG